rnacentral:rRNA from 1 species
GAUGAACGCUGGCGGCGCGCCUAACACAUGCAAGUCGAACGGCACCUAUCUUCGGAUAGAAGCGAGUGGCGAACGGCUGAGUAACACGUGGAGAACCUGCCCCCUCCCCCGGGAUAGCCGCCCGAAAGGACGGGUGAUACCGGAUACCUCGGGGUGCCGCAUGGCACCCCGGCUAAAGCCCCGACGGGAGGGGAUGGCUCCGCGGCCCAUCAGGUAGACGGCGGGGUGACGGCCCACCGUGCCGACAACGGGUAGCCGGGUUGAGAGACCGACCGGCCAGAUUGGGACUGAGACACGGCCCAGACUCCUGCGGGAGGCAGCAGUGGGGAAUCCUGCGCAAUGGGGGGAACCCUAACGCAGCGACGCCGCGUGCGGGACGGAGGCCUUCGGGUCGUAAACCGCUUUCAGCAGGGAAGAGUCAAGACUGUACCUGCAGAAGAAGCCCCGGCUAACUACGUGCCAGCAGCCGCGGUAAUACGUAGGGGGCGAGCGUUAUCCGGAUUCAUUGGGCGUAAAGCGCGCGUAGGCGGCCCGGCAGGCCGGGGGUCGAAGCGGGGGGCUCAACCCCCCGAAGCCCCCGGAACCUCCGCGGCUUGGGUCCGGUAGGGGAGGGUGGAACACCCGGUGUAGCGGUGGAAUGCGCAGAUAUUGGGUGGAACACCGGUGGCGAAGGCGGCCCUCUGGGCCGAGACCGACGCUGAGGCGCGAAAGCUGGGGGAGCGAACAGGAUUAGAUACCCUGGUAGUCCCAGCCGUA